GCGGCAGGCUUAACACAUGCAAGUCGAACGCUGUAGCAAUACAGAGUGGCAGACGGGUGAGUAACGCGUGGGAACGUGCCUUUCGGUUCGGAAUAACUCAGGGAAACUUGAGCUAAUACCGGAUACGCCCUUCGGGGGAAAGAUUUAUUGCCGAAAGAUCGGCCCGCGUCCGAUUAGCUAGUUGGUGAGGUAACGGCUCACCAAGGCGACGAUCGGUAGCUGGUCUGAGAGGAUGAUCAGCCACACUGGGACUGAGACACGGCCCAGACUCCUACGGGAGGCAGCAGUGGGGAAUAUUGGACAAUGGGCGCAAGCCUGAUCCAGCCAUGCCGCGUGAGUGAUGAAGGCCCUAGGGUUGUAAAGCUCUUUCGCCAGGGACGAUAAUGACGGUACCUGGAUAAGAAGCCCCGGCUAACUUCGUGCCA
rnacentral:rRNA from 1 species